CCUAAAUCAACACCAACCACUGAAAUUGAUGAAUCCACAGAAGGAAAUAAUGAAAAACAAAUGACGAAAGCUAACACAAAUAAAGGCUGGAUGACGGUUGUGUAUGUAGUUGCGUCAAUUGCUUUUGUUAUUGUAGUCUUGGUUUUAUUAUAUAGGCUUCGUGAAAGAUCAUGUUGCAAGU